rnacentral:misc_RNA from 1 species
UAUUAUGCAUUUCUUUUAUUUUUUACAUGGUUAGUACUCAUAAAUCUUAAUAAAAUAUAAAUAGAGCUUAGAUUUAGAUUAUCCGUUCGUGUCAUGUCAUGAUAUUCUAAACUUUAAAGCAAUUUACUUCAGAAAAAAGAUCUAAUAAGUUGAUGCAUUUGUGAAAAUAUGUCAUAUGUUGAUAUAUUUUGUUUGUUUUACAUGGCUAUAUAAUAUUUUUAAUCAGUUUCUAAAAUUUUUAUGAAUCUCACAAUUUGAUUCUCGAUUCACAGAAGGUGGAUUCUGAUUCUCGGUUCGAAUCUCGAAUUGACAACUAUGGUUAUAAAUUAUUACUUCCCUUUCAAUAGCCAUCUUGUUUUGUCUAACAAACAUUGUCUACUUCAAUAGGCAUGGCAGCUUCAUGAAGAGG